rfam:Felis catus isolate Cinnamon breed Abyssinian chromosome B4, whole genome shotgun sequence.
ACCUGGGUGGCUCAGUCAGUUAAGCAUCUGACUUUGGCUCAGAUCAUGAUCUCAUGGUUUGUAAGUUCAAGUCCCACAUCAGGUU